UACAGAGGUCCCAAGCGUUGUUCGGAUUCACUGGGCGUAAAGGGUGCGUAGGUGGUCAGGUAAGUCUGAUGUGAAAGCUCUGGGCUCAACCCAGAAAUGGCAUUGGAUACUAUCUGGCUAGAGGAAUGGAGGGGGGACUGGAAUACUUGGUGUAGCAGUGAAAUGCGUAGAUAUCAAGUGGAACACCAGUGGCGAAGGCGAGUCCCUGGACAUUUCCUGACACUGAGGCACGAAAGCUAUGGGGAGCAAACAGG
rnacentral:rRNA from 1 species